GAUGAACGCUGGCGGCGUGCCUAAUACAUGCAAGUCGAGCGAACAGACGAGGAGCUUGCUCCUCUGACGUUAGCGGCGGACGGGUGAGUAACACGUGGAUAACCUACCUAUAAGACUGGGAUAACUUCGGGAAACCGGAGCUAAUACCGGAUAAUAUAUUGAACCGCAUGGUUCAAUAGUGAAAGACGGUUUUGCUGUCACUUAUAGAUGGAUCCGCGCCGCAUUAGCUAGUUGGUAAGGUAACGGCUUACCAAGGCAACGAUGCGUAGCCGACCUGAGAGGGUGAUCGGCCACACUGGAACUGAGACACGGUCCAGACUCCUACGGGAGGCAGCAGUAGGGAAUCGUCCGAAAUGGGCGAAAGCCUGACGGAGCAACGCCGCGUGAGUGAUGAAGGUCUUCGGAUCGUAAAACUCUGUUAUUAGGGAAGAACAAAUGUGUAAGUAACUAUGCACGUCUUGACGGUACCUAAUCAGAAAGCCACGGCUAACUACG
rnacentral:rRNA from 1 species